rnacentral:rRNA from 1 species
UACGGAGGAUCCAAGCGUUAUCCGGAUUUAUUGGGUUUAAAGGGUGCGUAGGCGGCCUAUUAAGUCAGGGGUGAAAGACGGUAGCUUAACUAUCGCAGUGCCUUUGAUACUGAUGGGCUUGAAUGGACUAGAGGUAGGCGGAAUGUGACAAGUAGCGGUGAAAUGCAUAGAUAUGUCACAGAACACCAAUUGCGAAGGCAGCUUACUAUGGUUUAAUUGACGCUGAGGCACGAAAGCGUGGGGAGUCAAACAGG